rnacentral:misc_RNA from 1 species
UAGAGAUUUAUCUCGCCCAACCCUUGCGAACGUACCUAGUUGCCUCGGCGGAGGAUUCGGGGUCAGCCCCGGAGCCCGCCGCCGAAGGAAUAUAAACUCUUGUUUAACCUGGAUUCUGAAAAAUAUUAGUAAAUAGUUA